AGCACCAAACUGUUGCUGGAACAUUAGCUGGCGAGGAUUAUAUAAAUGAGGAAUUAUCAAAUUAUCCUCCUUCCAAAGAGCUUAAAGUGUAACAAAAUAUGUAACAAAAUAAAUGUCCUUUCAUAAUACAAUACCUAUCAUAUGUUUUGUCAUCCAACCUGUUCCUCCAGCAAUUAAUAGAAGGGCUUAGGUGUGUACAGGAAUGUAUGUACAGUAUAUUUACCAGCUGCCUAGCAUAUGAUCUAACCAAUGAUUUAAUCUAAUCAGUAUUAAAAAUUCUACAUUCUUUAUUAGACUAAGCCACAGGCAUUAUAAUAAAUGAGUUAGAAAACAGAACCCAAUUAAAUAUAAAUCACUGUAGAGAUCUCAGACAAUUUUCUAAUGUUUUUAAUAAUGUCUCUUCAAAUUAGCCAACAAAAACCCAGAUUGCCUUAAAAUAAAAUGGCAUUAUAUGGAUUGUCAAAUGUUAAUAACCACAAUGAAUUGGCUGCUGGGACAAAAGUCACUGUUCACAGUUAAUCAAGCCAUGAGUUUGGAAGCGGCACAAUACAAUGCUAAAUACAAUGGUUAUUGUCUAGUCAUAGUACAGUAGAACACACUCUCGAUUCACAGUCAGUGUUUCGUUUCUGACCAUGGUUGAAAAUUUCAUUUCUACUGAAGAGCUUUACCCUUUACCUCUAGUAGAAUCACCUGUUACUGACGUUGGGCAGAGUGGGUAAAUAGAUUAUUGACAUAGUUGUGUAUCCUAGCAUCGUAAUGAAAGUGGGAACGCCCAGCUGCAUCUAAAAGUCUAAAGUGUAAAAGAAAUUUGAGAUGACCUUUAUUAACCCAUACAGUUUCUAUAAAGCAGCAGUUCCACUGGCCUUAAAAUGGUCUCGGAGCAUUAUCGCACCACAAAUACAGGGUACAGUGUUGCUGGAAUUAAAUACCUCACCUUUUUUCCUCAUAUAUAUAUAUAUAUAUAUAUAUAUAUAUAUAUAUAUAUAUAUAGUUAAAGAUUCAAGAGAAUUAAUAAAUCACAGAUUACUCUUUUUACUGCAUUUUACACAACGUCCCAACUUUCUUGGAAAUGAGGUAGUGUUAGAAUCAUGUGAUAUUUAUCACUGUCUCACUGUUGUAUUAUUGUCUGUAACACAGUAGGUUUUUUAUUUUGUCUUGUUGGUGUCCUGAGAGCCAAAAAACACAUUUUGGAAGUCAAGUAGAAUGGUUCGGCUCAUGUAUUGAAUGGUACUGUAGCUGCUUUGUCAGGGUUGUCAUGAGUGAAUAAUUUACCUGUAAACCUUGGACCGGGUACUAAUAGUGUAAAUAAAAGCCGGGUUCAGAUGUAUGUCUGAGUUGAAUCAAAUCUCUAUAAGAGUAUUUUGCAUAAAACCAUGUAACAUUAAUUCCCUAAAAUUCCAAUCAAGCACGGGUUAAUUAUUUACCUGAAUUAACUUACCAAUAAAAUCUGAUCAAUUAUCAGCUUUUAUGAUUUGUUUUCUCAUUCUGAAGAAGGCUGAAAGUUUAAUUUCCACCGAACAGCACCUCCCUUCAGUUGCUCUCUUAAAUAGACCGAUCAGUUCUUCAGGUUGUUACAUUGGCAGCAGGAAUCGCCGGAGCGGCUGGUGCAGUAGCAGUAGCACCAGUCGCAGUUGCAGCACUGGGUUUUACCUCUUUUGGAAUCGCAGCAGGAUCCAUUGCUUCAUCGAUGAUGUCCACUGCAGCCGUUGCUAACGGCGGUGGCGUGGUAGCUGGAGGUGUUGUUGCCACCCUGCAGUCUGUUGGGGUGGUUGGCCUUUCUACUGCUGGCACUGCUGCGGUCGCAUCUGCAGGAGCCGCCAUCGGUACAGCUGCUAAAUGUGUAGCAGCAGCAUUACUGUUUUUCUGACUUAAAUAACGUUUUCCUGAAAAGAAAAACAACAAAGCUGGUUUUAAUCUACAUUAAUGAAACAUUUAAUUUACCUUAUACUGUGUUCAUUUAUAAAAGAAAAUGAAUAUGCACAAUCAUUGUGAGAUAGUUGUUUUAUUUCAGCAGCAUGUCCCAUCCUAAAGAUUUUGUUUAUCCCAAAGCAGGACUUUUAGAAUUCUCUAUAAUUACUUCUAAGACCCUAAGAUUACUUGCAGCAAUGGAAUAUUAUUCUCAAAACUCAGUGUCUAGGAAUUGUUUCAGUAACUCACAUGUGGUUAACUGACAUGUAGAGGGGAUUACUGAAGAUUUUUAUGGAUUUGUUGAAGUUGUUAUUUGAGACAUUUUCAUUACUGCAUUGGAAAAUAGCCCACAUAGUGAGCUAAGUGGUUAUGGGUUGGUUGAAAUUUAGAACCCUGAAAAUAGGGUCACUGGCCAAUAAGAUUGAGAUGAUAAAACAUUAGAUUAUAGAACUAAAACUUUCUGGAUUAAUCUUGUGUAUUCAAAGCUCUUAUCAUCCUAUUAAGCAUACAAAUAAUGAUUUGUGGUCAUUUAUAUUUUUAUUAUUUCUUAAUUAAUAAAAACAGAUUUCAAAUUGUUAUUGUAUGUUUUUGCUUAUAGUUUUGUCUGUCACUGGUGUUACACAAAAUUUGGAUGCCUAAACAAUGAAAAAAAAUGAUUUAAUCUGUCAGUGUACACUAAAUAUUCAGGAUUGAUUCACAUUUGAUGGAAGCCUAAUUAAUCAUGAUCAAUUGACUAUAACUGUAAAAAUUUAAAGUUAUGCACAUUUUAUUGCAAGCAAAUGUUGACCAAUAAAAAAUCAAAUAAAAUUAUGAUAAAAUUAUUACAUUUAAAUUAUCUUUAGAAAGCCAGCAAAUGUCUUUAUAGAGUUGUUAAGAGUUACUCGUCUUUUAGCCAAUUAUUUAAACUGACAAGUCUGUUGACAUUAUCUGGCAAACGUGACAAUCUUUUCCUGUCGAGUAUGAAACCUGCCACUGGAAACAAAUGCUCACAGGGUACUACAAUGAACCAGCUUAUUAAUUGUUGCUCAUGGGUCUUUGUCAUGUGUGUUUAGUGCCUGUGAUGUAACUGAUGCGCCGAUAAUUGUUCAUUUUUUGUCUGUGUUUAUUAACAAGUACAAAUAAAGGACAUAUAUUGAAAUUUUACAUAA